rnacentral:lncRNA from 1 species
GUGACUCUUGUGUUAGCUGCCUCCUGUUUCACUCAGGUACCCCUCCACAGCGAGGCUACUCUCAGAAGACAGUCCACCUCUGACCCAGCUCCUGUCACAGGUGAGCUCACCUGCUCUGAUCACCUCCUUCUAGCCCCUCCCUCCCUCCUGACACCUCCUGACACUGUGACUUCUGUACAUUCACAUCAGAUAACAGCCUGUUUAUGAGAGGAGCACAUCUGAAGGAGUAUGUUGGAAUGUUUGCAGCCUCAUGUUGAUCACAGAGCCUGCGCUGUUUCACCUGAAGACCGCGGGACCACGUGUGCGUAAUAGGAGGAAACACACAGAAGCAUCAGAGCAGAGGAGAGAAGAAGACAUCCAGCUGAGCUCAGGUAGAUGAUGGCGUGUGUGUUGGCUCUUCUCGUCCUGUCCCUCCUCCUGAUUGGUCCGUCAGCGUCACCUCCGUCUUCAGGUGACGUGUCAGAGGGGGCGGAGCCGGCCUCUCACUGCCCGCCGCGCUGGCUCCUGUUGGGGCAGAGAUGCUUCGCUUUCUACCCCGUGUGGAGCUCCUGGAGCUCUGCUGAGUCCAUGUGCUCUCAGACAGGGGGUCACCUGGCUUCCCUUCACACCCCGGAGGAGAGGCUGUUCGUGGGUCAGCUGGUGAGAACACACACACCUGUGUGGCUGGGUGGACGCCGGGCCCAACAGAACGGCUCCUGGGUUUGGACUGACGAUCAGAACCAGGAAGAGACCGGCGAGGGCGGGGCUUGCAUGCAAAUGGACCCAAUAAGUGGAGAGCUGCAUGGCGCCCCCUGUGGAGAGCUCUGGUUCUACAUCUGCUCCACCGCAGCCAGUUCUGAAGCCUUACCUGAGAACAGAACACCAGUCAAGUCAGGUCUCGCCCCCAAUGUGAGUCUGUUCGAUGCAGUGUGGGGUCCCAGUGACGCGUUGGCCGAGGAGAUUCUCCGCUGGUCCUGCUUCUUCCAGGAGCUCCAGUCCGGUCGCCUGAAGCAGCGCUGCUACAGCAGCUUCAUGCAGCAGGAGGCGCUCUACCUGCAGAGAGUCAGCAGCAUGCUGGAGGUCCUGGUCAGCAGCUUACAGGAAGCAGAUGCUGUGAGAUCACUGCUGCUGGACACUCUGGAACACUACAGCAGCAGAACACAGAACCCCAUCAAUUCACCUCCACCUCAGUGGCUCCAGUCGUCCCUCCAGUCUUUCCACUUUGUGGUUUUGGAGGAGCCGAUCUACUGGCUGGUGGCGCUGUCAGCCCGGGCCUGCCUCUAUGACUUGCUCUCCGGGGUGCAGGUCAGGACGGGGUCUGGGUCUGAACUUGUCUACCAGGACUGGAGCGAAGAGAGUCUGAAGGAAGUCGUCUGGACACAAAGGUACAGACAGGUGCUGGAGAAACAUCAGGACCAGGUUGACGUGUUCAAAGCGAUCCAAGUCUUCAGGCAGCACAUGAUGAACCAGAAGAGUCUCCACAAGGCCAUGUAAGAACCAAUCAGAGCGUCCGUCUGUGGACGCGCCCGCCCGUCGCUCAGUGAGUCUCAGUCUUUACGAUGUGUGUUUCUUCUUCUGCAGAGUCUGCGAUGAUGACAUCGGUGACACCUUAUAAGGGUUGGUGUGACAGGUGAAGGUGAGUCCAACAAUUUGAUCUCAACAAGCCAUUUAAUUAAAUCGACGGUUCAAACGACUGUAACGGGACAAUAACGAGAUCGAUCUGUUUUCAGUUUGUGUCUGAACGCAAGCGACCGUCUGUUGGAACGAGACUGUUCCUGCCACCAGGGUGAAGGGAACCUCCUGAACUCCACAAGUUUAGGCUUUAUUUAUAUUUCUAUCCGUUUUGUAUGAAGUUAGUAGAACUGUUGUGAAGUGAGCGAGAGGACAGCGGAGAUGAAGAAACGUGGCGUCGCCCCAGUAAAACCUCAAACAGCUCAGAAGUCCAACAUUUAUUUACAUGAUUGUCCACAAGUUUUUUAUCCUCUGUCUGAUACAAAUUGUCAUAUUUUACAAUAAGCUACAUUUUGUUUAAGUCUGACGGGCCAGAUGGAAAAAUAAAGAUAAAAAAAAAGAUGGUGAGACUUUCUGUUUAUUUGUAUUUUUACUCCUGUUAAGUUUAGGUAAGAAAAAAAAUAAAUAAAUGUCUCUAUAAAUACAUUUAAUAUGUGAUUAAAUUGGAUUAAAGUAUAUAUUUCUGUUUUUUUAUUUGCCUCGGAAUUAAUUUACUUUUCUAUUUACUCCUCAGUUUUAUUUAUGAUUAAAAUAAAACAAGGUGAGACCUUAUGUUUAUUUCUGUUUUUACUCCUUUUAAGUCCAGGUAAGAAUUUAAAUAAAAAUAAAUAAAUAAAUCUCAAUAAAUAAAUGUAAUAUGGGAUUCAAUUCAAUUCAAAUAUAUAUUAGUUUUUUGAUUUACUCUUCAGUGUAUUUAGAAUUAUAUUCCAUCUCAAUUAUUUAAAUAAAAUAAAAAUAAAAUAAAAACAUGGUGAGACUUUCUGUUUAUUUCUGUGUUUACUCAUUUAAAGUUAACAUAAGAAUUAAA